rnacentral:ncRNA from 1 species
CCAAAAACAUAAUGUUUUGGUCCUAAACUUGCUAUUAUUUCUUACUAGACCUACACAUGCAAGCAUCUGCGUACCAGUGAGAAUGCCCAUAACAAGAUGGAGCUGGUAUCAGGCACAACAAACUUUAGCCAAUGACACCUUGCCAAGCCACACCCCCACGGGUCUACAGCAGUGAUUAAUAUUAAAAAUAAGCGAAAGCUUGAUUUAGUCAUAGUAGUAAUAAAGAGUCGGUAAAUUUCGUGCCAGCCACCGCGGUUAUACGAAAGACCCAAAAUAAUGGCCCCCGGCGUAAAGCGUAGCUAGAAUUUACUAGAACUAAGGACAAACACCUUCUCUGCUGUAAAACGCUUAAGAAGACAAGAAUAUCUUAACCUUAUAUCUUACUUGACACUACGAAAGCUAAGACACAAACUGGGAUUAGAUACCCCACUAUGCUUAGCCCUAAACUUAGAUAGCAAAAUACUACCUAUCCGCCAGAGAACUACAAGCAAAAUACUUAAAACUCAAAGGACUUGGCGGCAUUCCAUAUCAACCUAGAGGAGCCCGUCCAAUAAUCGAUAAUACACGCUCAACCCAACCAUUUUUGGCCACUCCAGCCUAUAUACCGCCGUCGUCAGCUAACCUUGUGAAAGAAAAGUAGUAAGCACAACAGCCCCCGCAAAAACGUCAGGUCAAGGUGUAGCUAAUAAAAUGGGUGUGAUAGGCUACAUUUUCUAUUAUAGAAAAAACGGAAAAUACAAUGAAACCUUGUAAUAGAAGGUGAAUUUAGAAGUAAACUAAGAAAGGAUCCUUAUUUUAACACUGCCCUGGAAUGCGCACACACCGCCCGUCACCCUCCUCAAUAAAUCAGAUGAGGCAAG